rnacentral:tRNA from 1 species
GCGAAAAUAGCUCAAUUGGUAGAGUAUAACCUUGCCAAGGUUACUGUUGAGGGUUCGAGUCCCUUUUUUCGCU